CACUCCAGUUGACUGUGACGUCACUGCUACGCAGCUGCCUGUGACCAGCUGAUCCACUGUUUUGCACAGCUCGAAGCAGGGAACCGAGACGAACAUCAAGCACUGCCAGUUAGCCCGAGCAAUAAAUCAGCUUCACAAGCGCUAUUAACAUCACUACAUACUGAUGCUGCAGCUGCAUAGAAAAGUAGAAAUAAACACGGUAGAGCGCACAGUGCGUAUGUGACUAGGAUGAUGACUUUUGCCCGUUGACCAGUGCUGUCGUUGGAUGGACACGGCAUCCAUCGUCACUGCGAACUGACUGCGUUUACUAUGUGCUGAGCCACAAUUCUGCGCCGGCUACUGCCGUGAACGGUGAUUCGGUUACACUGUCGCCACUACUGCUGGGGCAAGCUUCUUACACCCUCGGAUAGCAACUGUCAACGACAAGGCUCUGACGCCUCUCUGCCUGCCAACAAGCUCCCAGUGGAGAGCAGAUCGCACACCGAAAGCCAAUAAUAGGGACAGAAAGACAGACACCCCCGAGUCGAAAGCUGUCUUGGGUUCAGAGGUCGGCUGACCAGAGUCAGUGCAACGCGCCUCAACUGGAAAAUUCGGUGCUGUAUAAUAAUAGUUGUUAUCACUACUAUCCUUGUAACAAUGAUAGUCUGCUAUUAAUGCCAGCACAAAGGGUUGUUGUCAAAUAUUCGAUUUGUCAAAUCCUUAUCGCCAUCUGGUUCGAGCGAGGUCUGAGUAACUGAAAGGCGGAAUCGACCGCCGUCAGCGACUCCCCAGUAAGACAGCUUGGCAACAAAAAUAUCUGCCUACACCUAAGGACGAAGCAUAAAUACGGGAGAACUUCUAGGUGCUGAUUCCGAGUUGAUUGAUUCAGUUGUUUUGCAGAGCUUCUCGCGCUCGAAACAAGCUUAAAGGAACGUUGGGAUCACCGAACAGUGAUCAUUAGAGCUUUAAGAGGAACACGAAAAUACUUCAAAAAGAACGAAAUAGAAGAGAAAGCAAGACGUUCAUCUUCGUGUCGUUACUGCCAUAGCAGAAAAAAGAAUACUAAUAGAUAGUGUGGUAUAAAUUAACUGUGUAUCUCUGCGUAUGUGCAUGUUUGAGGUUUUUGUGACGUGCGAGUGCCAGCUGGUGUCACCAACAAACGACUAGCCGUAUCCGCUGACCAACUGAAAGGGCAAAUAAACGACGUGUUUAGUGAAUCAAAAUUGUCGUGAGGUCAUUCGUUCACCAGCUAUUUGACUAAACGCUAAAGGGCAUAGCACAUCGAGGGCCAGCUAGUGACUGGCUGUCGGCGUCUUGUGCCCGGGUAAACCACAGCUGCACUGUGCAGGUGGUGGCUUUGCCCCUUCACGAUCGAUCAGGGGACGACGAAACUGCCAGCGAGCUCCGGUCGAACGAGCCAGAAUGUUGGAACUAGCGGUUGUACCAGAAAAAUCACUAAGCAACGAAGACAUCCAGUUAGUUCUUGGUAUGUCCCUGAACCAGGUAAUACAAUCGUUGCAACGCCAAUUUGAGGUAAUUCAUAACAUCGAGCUCGGCUAUUCGGACAAGCAUCCACUAGCAGGAGAUAUCACCCUUGAUUUACGCGAGGAUGGUAUUCGGCUCUUGUUCGAACCAACCACGCAACGGUUAAAGCUGAUAGAGGUAACUGAUUUGUCCCGCGUGGUACUUUCGUACAGCGGUACCGUGUUCUGUUCGAGGGAGGUUCUUCCCACGCGAGAGCAAAUCGACGAAACUUUCGGAGCAACGCAUCCUGGAGAGUUUGAUGCGGAUGCUUCGCUAUUCCAUUUAAAGUUUCGAGGAUUAUGCUUUUCGUUCGCUACUCAAAAAUCAGAUAAGGCUGACAGACUCAGCCCCAAAGGAUGUAAGACCAAUGCAGGAAUCACCAUUAAAAGUUCUCCCUGCGCUCUCGACGGAAAGGGUCCCUUCAGUAACGUUGUGUCACGGAUGGCCAUUUAUAGCGGCACCUCGCACAAGGACACUCAGCCUCCAGCCCUGCCCUUGAACUCAUUCGGUACGUCAAUAUUCCUUGAGCAACUGAACGUCAUUCGGGACACGGGAGAACCUGAUGGAGGACGUACGCGCGGAGUGGAGCUGGACAUUGUCUUGCGAGCUUCAGUAGAUCGCACAAAUAUGCCCACCAAAAAGACGCUCAAAAGGACAAUCCUUUUCGGAGACAGUGUGAGUGACGUCGUGUCAGCCGUUGGAAGUCCAUCGAAAGUUUUCUUCAAGGAGGAGGACAAGAUGCGAAUUCACUCGCCCAGCACUGACGAUUCCGUAGACAUAACUAGCGUCGAGAGGUCCGACUAUUUUUACAACUAUGUCACUUUGGGCCUGGACGUUUUAUUUGAUGCCCGACGACAUACUGCAAAGAAGAUUAUAUUGCACACAAAUUUUCCAGGCCACUACGACUUUAACUGCUAUCAUCGAUGCAAUUUCACCAUGGUGCUCCCGUCCAUACAGGGAGAGCCGGACGUCGUGGUCAACACAUUUUCUAGGUGGGAUGACAUUUCGGAGCGCCUAGUGACAAGGGAGGAAAAACCGGUGCUCCUCAACCGUGGCGGGUCCACACCCAAUACCAUUAAUCCGUUUGGUUCGACACAUUGUUACGGAUGUUGUGUCGACACCAUUGUCGAGGUCAUCACGGACAACAAUCAUAUCGCAUCAGUGACCCUUUUUGACUCUACGCUACCAUCGUAGUACCACCCAGUUCCGUCGCCGCGAAAUUAAUCUUCUGUCAGCAAGGAAUCCCUAUUAACAAGAGCUGCUGAACGGAGCCCAUAAGGUUUAAUCUUCACGUAUCUCGGCCGUAUCAAGGGGGAUUGGCAAGGCUAUAUGUUUGUAUCGCUGAAGAGAUUCGACAAUCGUAUGAGAGUUUUCGACCCUCACAGCAAGCAAUGAGAUGUUAAAAUAGAUGGAUAGGCUUCGCAUUUUGCAAGUAACUCGCUAGCUGCCAGCUGCUCUCACCGAGGUCAACCUGUUGUGUACAACCUGGUCCCUGUUAACUUUGACGGAAUUGAUUGCGCACACGGCAGGAACUCAUAUAAGACCUCAUACAUGACCGAUUUGCGGUAACAGAUUGAAGAUUGCUGCUCUUAUAUCUUAGCGAUACAAUCGGCGUACAUACGAGAGAAUGUGUUUGCGAGAAAAAAUUGAAUUACUUUUAAAUCGUCGAUGAAAGGCAUGAAAAUUGGACAGGGUUAAAAUCUGCGAAUAAAAAUAAUUAGUAGUUGGAACGUAAAUGCCGCUAGUGAUCUGAUUAGUGUUGUUUGCAACAGAGCGUACAUAGUUUUUUGCUCAGAACUCUGCCGAUGUAGAGUCGCCACUUGAAACUUGGUUUGACACACCGUUAUGUUUAUUACGUUUAAUAAUCAGAGCUUCUCGGAAAAUUGUGAAUUAGUGCGGCAUGCUCAAUCUGUCUCGAGGAUCAGUUUGGCAUUUUAGAGUGGCAGUAGAUCUCUUUGUAGGGAAUCUUCAAAUCAUAUGGUCAUACGCAAAAAGAAUAGGAAAAGAAAAGGACCCAAACUAAUAAAAAAAGAUACCCUUGAUUAUCGUUAUUGAUAGCACUAUAGUUCAUUAAUGAGAAUCCGUCACCUUCAUCUAUGCAUCUGCUUAUGGAUAAUAUUUUUUUUUUUUUGUAAAUCAAUCAAAUUAAAGGUUGGCGUAAGCAACUAAUAGUUAUAGGUAUUGAACUGAAAGGAAUUUCAGCGAAUUCGAAGCAGAGGAGCGAGCCCUGCCAGGUUUAUUUGAAUGUUAGCAAAAACGAAAAGUGAGGGCAAAAAGGGGUCUCCAGAGCUUUCAGCUCGUGUUAAAACUACCCGUAUGUGUGAUUAUCAAAUUGGUAGUCCUGUCCUUUUACUCGAUCCCCAGUAUAAUGUUAGCAACCAGCUUGGAGAGCUACGCAAAUCUGAACAGAAGUACGGUGAAUCUGGUAACGGCUAAUAAUAAAAAGAGAGAUCAAAUACGAAGAGAAAAUCAUGUUGAGCCCCCCAUAACCGUCAUCAUUGAUGUAAAUGAGCUGAAAGGAAAGUAAUUAAACAACACCCCCUUCCCCUCCUAGGUACGUCCUCAAAUGGUGGCGUCAUCAAGAACAGUGUGGAUACGAAUAAGGCAGUACGUAAAACAGCUGAGUGGUUCAAAUGCUCUUUAACGACGCAAACGAACUACUAGGCCUGAGUGAAGGAGGCAGAGAAGGGUCUGCUGUGCAUUUAGGUGACGACGAUAAUUAUAAUUAUAGUUAUUAAAUUAAUAUUAUCGACCUUGAGGCCGUCGAACUUGUUUUGUAUGACAAAUACCGCAGCUGCUUGAAUGAUACAAUGUUGAUAUAGAUGACAACAUGGCGGUAAGACGAGAUGGAUGCGAAAUAGAAAUGGAAACUAAAACAACAAUGUAAAAAUAGAGAUUGUACGAAACAUCAGACGAUGGCGUAAAUGUGUGAAAAUGGCCAAGUGUCGGAGCGAAAGGUUAGUCUGAAUUUAAGCUCGGAUGGGAGCAAGCAUUUGAGUAUGAGUUACAUUUGAUUGAGUAUGCCUAAAGGUUAAUUGCGCCUAUGGAGUAAGGUUAACACCAAAACGUACUAGGAAAACAAUGGCGUUCGUGAAUUGUCUGCUGCAGAGAUAACGUUAUGAUGAUAUGUGGGAAAGAAAAAAAUGUGAAAAUAGCCGUUUUAUUAUAAAUACAAAAAUAAUUAUAGCAAAAAUUACUAUCGUCAUGAUAAGUGCUGUGUGUUUGGCCAUCUGUAUCAAAUCUUAUGUGAACUAUCUCCACGCUUUAUAAUGAUUGUAUAUUAUAUUUCCAAUGAAAAGGAUGAAGAAAAAAAGACAAAAACACAAUAAAUUAUAUAUUGCACAUCCUGUUGUUGCUAAUACUAACUUUACACACACACACACACACACACGCACACACACACACACAUAUAAUUAAGAAUAUGUCAAUAAAGAAUUUUCUUAUUAAUUAUCAUUUUUAAGUUAGCCUAAAUAUUCAUAAGGGAAAUAUGCAUGCCUGAAUGUUCGACAUGCAGGCAUCUUUUUGCCGUUAAAAACCAAACAUCGAGAUAAAAUAGCUACAGCAGCAAAAACAAAAAUAUAAAAAACCGAAGUGGGAAAACUUAAGAAAUAAAUUCAACUUUGGAAUCAUCAAUGGAUACGGAAAUUGAUUUAGGCUGGAGAUGUGGUCAAAUUUAUGGUGUAUACAUAAGUUUAUUAAGUUUGUAUCAGGGUAUAUACGCUUAGAUUUGUGUUACUGAACACCUACAUGGAUAGACAACCUCUACGCAACUCAAUAAUGCAAAAAUGACAGACCAAGAAACAGUUUUUUAAACAAAAAGCAAGUUUUUUUUGUUUGUCGUUGUCACAGCUUAGUUUCUUACAUGAAAAAUGCCAGCAAAUUUUAGCAUUAGAAAUAUGAUGAUAGUGCUAACGCUUGAAAUCGGUUUCGUUGAGCGAUAUUAGUAUUGUAUCUGGAUAAGAAUUAUAUGGACAAAGAAAUUUCUAAUUAGUGAAUGGUCUUAAGGGGUUACUCGUUUUUUAUCGAUAGUGCAGUAGAGUUUUUCCUCAAAAGGCAAAAACUUUGUUUCUUAGAAUGGAUAUAUCCGUGUGCUUAUAUCGGUUAAGCAGCGUAACCUAACGGUUAUUUAAUCUGAAUUUUUCAUAGAAACCGCAAACUUUCCAACGAUUUGUAAAAAAAAUAAAAAAAUUGUUUAGUGUAAGUACAAUCUGACCUAACGUAAUUUUGCUGGUGCGACAUAUCUUAAUAAGAUUUCCACUAUGGCAUCGACGAGAAACUAUAGCUAGAUAUUGUUUCGGGAACUUUCAAUGUCGAAGUAGAUAUCAAAUAGUUCAGUGAUCGUAAAGGGCAAAACUAGUGAGAGUUCGCCUGAGUUCGAAAAUCACCAAUUGUCUGAGUAAUCUCAGCGUUCGGUAUAGUUAUGAGUUAUAAAUUUGCGUCACUAGCCAGCGUCGAUAACCGAUCUGAGUUAAAAGAAGAGAAGACAGAGCCCGCUAAUACUCGUUGCUGAUAACGAAGGAUCUUUACCGUUUUCAUUCAUCGUAUACAUCAUACGUCCACUGGACUGGGGUGGCACACAGAAAAAAUCCUCUGGUAGGAGCCCGGGCUCCAUCUUUCAUGGGGAAAUGUUUCACGUGCACUAUUUUUGGUAGCUAUAAAUUGACGGGGUAGAACUGAACAGAGAACAGCUGUAAGACAACCAAAAAAACUUUCUGUCAGGAGACUGGCCAAUAAGCAAAUGCGAAACCCGAAUUAUUAGCUGUUCUACAUUGGCCGCCCUUUAAAAUUCAUAUGUUUUAUUGCGAUUAUUGUAACAUAUGCAAUUUGUAUUACUUUCCUUAUGUGGAAUACGCGGCUUAGUUCUCAAGCAGGAGAACAUUAUAGACCUCCAUCGGGAGCUUUUGUAAAAAGUCAGUUACUUUCGAACCGGAUCAAACGCACACAUAUGAGCCAAACGAUAAUUAUAGACUUCUUAAAAGUUCACGGAAAUGAUAGAGGACAUAAUCUGGCGUAGAGAUCGAUUAUUACUGAGAUGUUCAAGAAACGUAUUGAUAUUGCAAUAUCUGUGAAUCUUUGGUCUCUCGCAUACCCCGUAAAAAGUGCCUCUGUAGUCUGCGCGGUCUACGUAUGUCCGUAUGAAGUAGGCAACACGCAGAAUUGGCUAGCGAUCUGUGAGUGAUAUGACAACAUUUCAUUGUUACGCGUAACGUAAUAUCAGACUUAAACGCCAAAGGAACUAAACGACAUCUGUGGAGUAUGUGAACAAGACGUUAAAAGUAAAAAUUGAGACGCUGUUGAGAUUCUACUAAAUUUAUUAAGAACCUAAUGGUAGCCAUUCCUGGCUAAAGACUAGCUGUUCUAACAGCCUACAUUUGGGUUAUUCUAUUUAUUAAUUUGUUAACGAUUAUUUAGUGUACAAUUUUUUUUUACUAGUGAAAAAUUCUUCCACUUUCUGUACUGUAAAAAUAUUUCCAACGUAGCACUUUAGUCAUACAUAGCACAAUACUUCUUGUGACAUUGAUUGUUGGGCAAGGAUGUGUUUAUGUAAAUGUUUUCGAAAUUAUGCAGCAGUUGAAACGGUAGCUGAAUCCAUUUAGCCUUUUCUUGCGAUGCAAAUGUGUAAAUACGUCUAUAAGAGUCUUACAUACUUAGCUAGACCUUAGAAGCUUGAACGCGGAGAUGUACGACAGUUCAUGGCAAUAAUAUAGACGUCAUGAAAAGAAACGCAAUAGACGAAGCAAUGAACGUCGUGACACUGUAAUAAUAUUAAUAGUGUGUAGUAUCUAUUCCCGUGAAAUUUAGAGAUUCGUUUAGUAUAGGAUAGGCGUAGCACUUCAGAUUUAUCUGAAGGAAGUAGAAGAACGUUUAGCGGACCCGCCCUAAUUCAAGUAUAGUGACCCUUUACAAUGGCCGCGUUGCCAGCUUUUGUUACGGACUACGAAACGGGGCAGCCAAACAUGGACCUUUGUCCACAAUGAAUACAGACAGCAGUGUAUAUAUAUAUUGAUGUGCGUAUGUGCGCCAACGGUCGCGCGUGCUCAUAUAAAAUUUACCAUCAUCAAAUAACCAUUAUGUUGCGGAUUGAAAGGCAGAAACUCACUGAGGAGAACAACGCCCUAAACAACAACGAAGGCCUAUUCUCCACUGAAAAAUACAGAUCCGUCAGAUGCGGCCAGAAAAUAUCCGCUAGCGAUUAUGACAAUUGAUGAGUUUACAAGUAAGAGAUGUAAACUGAGAAAAAUUGUAAUUAAGAAAAUCGAUCGAACGGCCCCCAGUCACGACAAUACACCCCACUUAGCCAUUUGACCAAUGGGUCACUACUACCAUAAACAACCGCACUGUCAAGCUGAUAAAAAGGAAACACACUAAUAGACGUAUGUACUGUUGUUGUAAAUGCUACCGCUUUUUAGGACGCUGUCGAAAUACUGGUCACUGUACCCGAUAGUGAUACGGGAGGCUGAGAGAUGCGUUAUACGAAAUACGUUAACAACAUCACCUUUAAAUAUAAACUAAUGUCUGUUUAACAGUUUCUUCCGUAAUCGGACGGAUGUUCGGAGAGUGACGCAACACUUACUAGAAUCUCGAUUGAAGAACCUUAGAAACGCGCUUCGGCUCAAUGUCCAUGUAUUGUAUAAACAAUAUAUAUCUACACAUACGCGUAGUCAUGUUAUCUAUUUUAAUACUAUCCCUCGUUCGCGAAACCAAUAGUUGUGACGUAAAAGCCGCAGAAUCGGAUUCUAGCUAUUAUACCCCAUUGGAAAUUUCUAAAUCAACAGGAUUUCAAUGGCGAACGUUCAGAUCCCUGGAUCGAUUGUUGACAGAUGCGUAACGUUUGUAUAAUACGGAGAGUCAUCUUAUUAUUGCCAGUUCGGCUGGGAAAGUUAUUAAAAAACGCGAUGAGUUACUAAUUGAGCGAGAUAUUACCUUGUUUGGAAAGGUUGCAUUAUUCUCUGAGCGUCAUCCAGCCUACAUAGAGCUAUAUUAUGGUACUCAUCUACGGCACUCUUGCAAAAUGCGAAGCGAAGCAAUAGCUUCUCUUUCUAUUCUCCGAUACUCUGAUAUGAUUCAAGCUGAUUUAAUCCUGAUCUGGCCCGGCUCUAAUACGUAAUAGAAGUAGACUAUUCGUAGCUCGUAAUCGUGAAGGGCUUAGGGGCUGCCCGAAGGGUCGUCUUCAAGAAACCACUAUUCAUCUUUUAAGCGACCACACCUUCCGCCUUUUUGUAAGAACUGUUUGACAGUGAAUAUACAACCAUUUAAAUUUGUCUGUCUAAGUACCUGCUUUCUCGUGCCGACUUAAUCCAAUAAAGCAUCGAUAGAAAGAAGUUUUAUAAGUUAAAAAAGUGUUAUAUAACCCGCUAAUCAUCCAAAGUGAACCCGACUGGAUAGUGCUUUAUAACUGGACGGCGUCAAUACAAAAUAUAAGCACGAAAAAAAAACUGAUACUGAACAAAAUAACACAGAAUGAAUUAAUCGCAGAUGCCCGCCAGCGAAUGGUUCAUUUAUCAUGCAAAAAAAAAUAAGCAAUAGAAUACCUGUGUCAUACUACACGAGAGUAAAUACAUUUAUAUGAAUACAGACUCAGAUAAAUUAUAUCAUUAAGAAUAAUAUGAACUCAUUAUCUUGCAAUUUUAUUGUUAUUACUAUUAACGAUAAGCUGAUAAUGUGAUCGAAUUGUAACAUAGGGAUAUACACGAAAAUUAAAUCGAAGGACUAAUGGAGAACGGACAGAUAAAAACAAUUAUAAUAUGAAAUAGAAAAAUAAAAAACGACAUUCUCAAAUUAAUAAAAAAUGGCUAACCAAGAAACACUGUUGAAACAUUGUUCUUCUAAAAUCCACGCUCGAAGGAAUAUUUUGCGUUCGCAGUGGUACAACGGGAAGUUGUUUACCUACUAGAAUUGAAUGCAUAUGAGGCAGUCUAAAUUUGAAAUUUCGCGCCGGAGGGUGCGGGCAGCUAUCAAAUGUAGAGUUUACGGCGGUAACGAACGUAGAGUUUGUUACUGGUUCUCUCAGACUGUAGGCCAGAGUGCGGUUAGUUACCAACAGGCUAACGUGGAUCUUUAAUUAUGUUUUCGGCCCUUUGCCCUUGGAAGUGUUGUGGAAAACAACUAACAAAGCAAAGUUUGGUUAACUUAUCGCUGGCAGUUAUCGCUUAGAAUUGUAUGACGUUCCAGAGACUUUUAACAACGUACAGUUCAGCUCGACUAUAAGCAUCAGAUGAAGACCACAGAGCUUUGAAACUAUCGUGUCAAUCUAUUACCGCUUAUAAGCGCAGAACCUACGCACUUGUGGCCAGACAUCGUGGAUGGACUAGUCCUAAGGCAUACUGGUGCCUUUUCUGCUCUUUCUAAGUCGUUUCCCAGCCUGGGAAUCAAGUGCAUCAACGUAGAGAAGUUGGUUACAAAAUGACCAGAGUAUGAAGAUGGAGACCAAGG